GAAAAGUACAAUAUUUUGAAAAACAUGUUUAACAUUUACAAUGUACAAACCUUUGUCAAAUAGUAUUAACCAUUGCAAUAUUUAAAAUAUGUUGUUUAAUAUGGGUUAUGCUACCUUGGUUGAUUAGGUUGUUGUUCAUUACAUGAUACAUUAAUUGUAAUAGGUGUUUAUAAAUUUGUUCAAGCUUGACGCCUUUAUUUUCUAAUAUAUAUUUCUGAAUUCCCACAAGGAUUUCAACAUUAUAUCUGAAUUAAAGUAAAUAAAUAAUUAAUAAAAAAAAAAAAAAAAAAAAACGUUUAUUUGUGUUUAAAUUCAAACAACACAGACUAAACCUGAUUGGUUCCAGAGCCAUUGAACGGCUCUGAUUGGUUCAUGUGAUAAUGAGCUAGCAGCAGAGAGCUUCGUAAAUCAGAUAUGAUGUGCGUGCAGAUGUCCCUUGAAUGUGAAUAUAAGUCUAAAUGUAAACAGUAUUAUAGAGCGAUCGUGUCUCUUUAGGGCGCUUGGAGGAAACCACGCAAUUCAUAUGGAUUACUUUGGCGAUAUUUUUUUGCGAUUAACUUUUUGAAACGUGAACAUCGUUGAUGAAUCUAUUCAUCGGAGGAACAUAAAUCUCUCAGAUUUCAUUAAAAUAUCUCCGCUUUUCUUUCGAAGAUGAACGAAAGUCUUAUAUGGUUUGGAGCAUCUUAAGGCUUAUGCGAGCGUGUAUGGCGUCUGGCUUCGGAACCUCACUCUGACUUCAGAUAAGAACAAAGAUUAAAUUGUAAGAGCAUACAGUACAUCUGAAACUGCUGAGGCUGGGAAGGUUUUUGACUAUAUUUCCGACCAGAUCAGCUGCUAUAGAAGACAAACUGAAAUCUGAGUGCAGAGACAAGCAAAGGAAUAGCACUUGUGCAAAAUAUUGUAUGCCUGAACGACUAGUCUGUGCCCCGGUCUCCGGAACCUGCAACGACACUCAGCUCCAUCGGCCCUCCAUCUGUGCCUUCAGAUCCACCAGCUCUCUCUCCAUUGGUCGGCCCCCAGAUGUCGGCAGCCACACCAUCUACAUCUUGGAUCCUCGCUCCCUCGACUCUGCCGUGUGUUAUCAGCACUGGGAUGCUCUGGGUCUGUGCCAUGUGCCAAACACUAUCUAAGCCGCCAGGGCAUCAUCGUCAUCCUCCCAUCACCAUCCCUUCACCACAUCCUGCCAUCAUUCCGCACCUUUGCCUCUCACCAUCCCUACAUCAUCUCCUCGUCCACCUCCAAAACCCCUCCAUCCCUCCCUAUUCUGUUGCUUGAACUUUAUCAUCUUCAGUCUUUGCACACACAUCUAUUCACUUCUGCACUUUGUUUUUCAGUAAAUCUUUGUUUUUUUUUCUUUAGAAAAUUGCAUUGUAAUUUGUAUUUAUUCACUGAUGUAAAAUUCUUUACUUUUCAGUAAUACAGGUAUAACUGAAAUGUUCUACAAAUGGAUAAGAUGGCUCUUCCAUAGCAUUUCAGUCUUUUUUUCAUUUAUUAUGUUUUUUGUAUAAUGUUUUAAAAUGUACUUGAGUAUGUUUUUAAUAGUAUAUGUAAUAGUUUUUGUUUUUCACCAAAGUAUAUAUGCUGCUGUACUUUUUAAAUGUACUUUAUGAAUAUUUGAAAUGUACACAAUAUAUAAUACAUUAAAG